GUGAUUUUUUAAGAGCUUGAUAACUUUUUAAAAAAAAAAAACGCAUAAAAUUUGCAAAAUCUCAUCGGUUCUUUAUUUGAAACGUUAGAUUGGUUCAUGACAUUUACUUUUUGAAGAUAAUUUCAUUUAAAUGUUGACCGCGGCUGCGUCUUAGGUGGUCCAUUCGGAAAGUCCAAUUUUGGGCAACUUUUUCGAGCAUUUCGGCCGGAAUAGCCCGAAUUUCUUCGGAAAUGUUGUCUUCCAAAGCUGGAAUAGUUGCUGGCUUAUUUCUGUAGACUUUAGACUUGACGUAGCCCCACAAAAAAUAGUCUAAAGGCGUUAAAUCGCAUGAUCUUGGUGGCCAACUUACGGGUCCAUUUCUUGAGAUGAAUUGUUCUCCGAAGUUUUCCCUCAAAAUGGCCAUAGAAUCGCGAGCUGUGUGGCAUGUAGCGCCAUCUUGUUGAAACCACAUGUCAACCAAGUUCAGUUCUUCCAUUUUUGGCAACAAAAAGUUUGUUAGCAUCGAACGAUAGCGAUCGCCAUUCACCGUAACGUUGCGUCCAACAGCAUCUUUGAAAAAAUACGGUCCAAUGAUUCCACCAGCGUACAAACCACACCAAACAGUGCAUUUUUCGGGAUGCAUGGGCAGUUCUUGAACGGCUUCUGGUUGCUCUUCACCCCAAAUGCGGCAAUUUUGCUUAUUUACGUAGCCAUUCAACCAGAAAUGAGCCUCAUCGCUGAACAAAAUUUGUCGAUAAAAAAGCGGAUUUCACAUUUCGAACCGAACACUGAUUUUGGUAAUAAAAUUCAAUGAUUUGCAAGCGUUGCUCGUUAGUAAGUCUAUUCAUGAUGAAAUGUCAAAGCAUACUGAGCAUCUUUCUCUUUGACACCAUGUCUGAAAUCCCACGUGAUCUGUCAAAUACUAAUGCAUGAAAAUCCUAACCUCAAAAAAAUCACCCGUUAUAAUAACAUAGCUACGUUCCGCACUUUAACACAUUCCAUAUGUUAUGCUAAUUUUAUCAGUCACUCACUUUCUACAAUCCCAGUCCAACAAUAUCCAAAUAACGGUAUAUUUAAGUAAGCAACUGACUGCGAUCUGUCAAUUCUGUACAGUCUUAUGUUUGAAGUCGAAUAAAGUGGUUUGAUUUAAAAAAACCUAAUCGGAAUUUUUACUGUAAUUAGUACUUAUUACUUGUCUUGAUGGUAGAAAUAUGUCUCAAAUUAAAACACGACAAACGUCGAACUGUCUUGUCUUUGGUUUGCCGGAGAAGUUACCUGUUUCUCACUUACCUACGUAUAUUGAUCUGAUGAAAUGGUAUCUGUUCAUAGAACAAGAAUUGAAGCUCGAUAAAACAAGAAAGCCAACAGUUCUUGAAAUAUCUGAAAGAUUAGAGGGUGGAGUUCUAAAAAUAUGCCAAAAAUCUUCACUGCCAACUGUAAGUGUAAAAAGAAUUUUACAAUUGAUUCGUUCCUACCAUGACAAAUACAGGACCUUAAUAAAACGAUAUCAAGGCCGUCAAACUAACAAAAAAAUACCAAGGUUAGAACAUUUAUAUCAGAGUCCCAUAGAUUAUUUGAUAUCUGCAGCUGCAAGUGCAAAGAUAUUAAGAAUUGUAGCUGUUUAAAAGGGUGUCGUGUUGCCAAGGAGGAAGUAAGUUCCUUACCAGAAAAAUCAUGAUAGGCGGUGUCGAUAUAGUUUCAACUGUGAUGAAUAAGAAACAAACAAGAUAACCGAAACCAAAAAGACCAACAACUGGGCAAGGGAAAAUCAUCAACAUCUCUGAAAAAAAAUAUAUUAAAUUUACCGUCAUUUGCCCUUGAUGUGAUCGCACUGGAGUCUCCGACAGAACGAUUCAAGUAGUGUCAUUGAUCGUUUAAAGUUGCGUCGUGAAAGAACUAAGGUCAAAUCAACUUUACAUGAAGCGGACUGCAAUAAAAUACUUCGUGGUUUGUAUUUUGACGGAACGAACGAUAAGACUUUGGUUCGUAUUGAUAAAGAAAGGGAAUUUUACAGAAAACGACAGAUAGAAGAUCAUUAUGUCAUUUUAUCGGAACCAGGAACUAGUUAUAUUAGCCACGUAUGAAAGUUUAUGGACCAAUGUGAUUUACAAUAAAAUAUACCCAGCAAGUCAUGGGUACUGAAACUCCAACACAUUCAAAGAAAUUUUAAUAACACCACUACAUACACACAUAUGGCAAAGGGCAAAAUGUGCAUAAACAUUUACCUCAACUCUUCUCUCGUACAGCACUCUGAAUGAUAGAAAGAAACAACCAAAGUUCUCGUGUUUGAUCAAGUUUUGUUUUGAGCUAUAUCAUGGUUGCUUGUGAAGUAUUAUUUUGCGUGUUUUAUUGAAAUCAGUGAUCUGCAGCCUAAUUAAAGUUUAAAUUAUUGAAGCACGCACUUUUAAAUAAGUAAAACGUAAAAUAAAAGUUUUCUAAUUCCAAAAUAUGGAAUUGAAGAGGGUGAUACAAUAAUACUUCAUUGCACUGUCAAUUCGAAGCACGCAAUAGAAGCUAUGCCAACAAUGGUCAACAUCAAUGGCGAAACCAUUGAAUACAAAUUUCAAACCUCAUAUGGCGCGUUAAAGGUACGCAAACUUAUUGGUGUCACUUAUUGUAGCAGCGUAGAACUUCCGAAGCGAUGGAAUAUGUGCUGCAAGCAAAUCCAGAACUAUGGAUGCAAACGCUGCUACAUGGAACACAAAUCAUUUACACACCAGAUAUUAAGUUUAAUGUCACUUUUUUGCGUUCAAUUAAACCUUUUGGUCAACACAAGCACGAGAAUUGGAACGACAUGGUUUAGGGGCUUUUGAAACCGUUUAUUAUCAUGACGUUUGUCAACUGGGUUUUGCAGUUUCAGUAUCUUUGGGCUUACCGGCACUUGGCCGUUCCAUUAGCAGCUAAAACACAGAAAUUAAAGCGUAAAUUUAAAGAAACCAAAAGAGUCCUCACAUAAUGUGCGCAGCUUACACUUCCAGUCCGCACGGAGUAUUUGACAUUUGCCACUCUUCCUCCAUCCUUUGUCCGAUAGCAAAAUUUGUUCAACUAUUCAAUUCUUUAUACAUAUGUAUAUAGUGUAGUAUGAUAAUAUAUGUAUAAAGUAAAUAUAAAUGGCAUGAUAUUUUAAAUAAAUAUGAAAUAUAAUUAAUGAAAAUUGCGAGUAUAGUCUCAGGGCUUUUGUGAGUCUAAGUACUGAAAAUGCACAUGGAGUUUUGGUUCGUAGUUUUGGGUAUUUCAUCCGUAAUAGUACCAAGAACAGUACUGAAAGUGCACAUGUAGUUUUGGUUCGCAGUUUUGGGUCUUUCAUCCGUUAUUGUACCAAAAUCAUUCACAGAAUUGUGCAAGAUAAUAUAUAAAUUGUUAAAUGAUGAAUGUAAUGUGCAAGAAAGGGAUGAACGAUCACACGUACACAAUAGUUUCGGGUACUUUUGUCAAUUCGCCCUUAAGAAUGGCAUAGAAACUUUCAUUGAAACUGCUAGUACCGCUCCCUGGCAUUUCACCGAAGAAUUCGCUGGUACCUAUCUUGCAGGGUAGCUCUUCAAACCAUUAAUCUAAGUCGUUAUUUAAAUUCCGAUAUGAAAGCAAUCGUUGACAAAGUAAUCGAACAUAAUGGAUACUUUGGUCACCCAGUAAAUCUUCUCAUUUCCAUGCUUGGUGAUGACAGAGAGAUUAUAAGAGAUCUUGCAUAUCGAAGAAUUGUAAAAGCAAGAUCAAAUAAUGCUCGAAAACUUCAAACGUUUAAAGUAAAUACAGUUAACUUCGACACCAAAGAUUAUCAUGUGCCAAGACUGCGAUAUAACUGAGCCACCUCUAACUUUAACUAUAUCUGAUGAAACCUUGAAAGACAUUGUCACAAAUGGUCUUGGUACAUGUCAGAAUCACAGUGUAUUCAACAAAGUGAACUAAGUAUAUGACAUUUCAUUUUUUUACACGAAUUUAACAUGUUUGUUGCCACUGAUUUAACCCUUACAUUUAUUCAAAAAUUCAAAUUUUGAAAUUCAAAAGUAAACAAAUUUCAAACCAAAACAAUAUUUUUUAAAUGAAUAAAAGAAAAUGCCGAAUACUUUCUGCUUAUGCAAAACAACUCAUGGAAGCAAUUUACUAAUGUUUUGUGCUUGAACUGACAAAUUGCAAACAAUUUUAUCAAUAUAUAUUAUAUUGUUCAAAUACAUGAAUUGUUUACUAUUUUAUUGUCAAAAACGGGUAUGUCAAAUACUUAGUUCACUUUGUUGAAUACACCAUUGUAUAGAGAAGUAGAGAAACCCUCAGCUGAUAAAACGUAAACAAUCCACAGCUGAGAGAGAUUCAUGGAGAACUGUCAAAUAGUCCCCGAGGGUGAGUUUCUUUGGGCAUCCAAAAUGGCUGACUUUUUAACGGAAAAUGGUUGCAUUGUAGAAUUUUUGCAAAAUUUGUUGAAAAGUUGUACAUAAAAUAUUGAUUAUUUGAAAGCAUUUAAUACUUUUUCGAUAAAAAAAAGAGUUCCUUUUUCCUCAUAAAGUGGCCAUACAUGACACACAAUUAAUGUUUAAAAGAAAAAAAUGUGUUCAUAUUAUGUAUUGUCUAAAUACAUACAAAUACAUAAAAUUGAUAGUGUAACAAAUUUAUAUCAUUAUUAUAAGAAGGGUUGUUUUAAUAACUGCUUGAUCUCUCCCAUGUUUAUUCAUUGAUCCAUUCCUAAUUUUGUCUAUAAAUACGUCAAAAUAAUUAAAUUAUAAUACUAUUUAAAUUACUGCUAACUUUUCGUACCAUAUCGCAAUAUCGCAUUACAAUGUUAUUUCGAGAAUCCCACUUAUAGUAAAAUAAAUCUUCUCGUUUCAAUUAAAUAUUUUUCAAAUAAUUAUGUUGGGUAUUCACCCCUAUCAAGAAGAAUUAAUAUAAUUUAAUUUCGUAAUACUAAAUAAUAUCAUAAUAAUACCAAAAAUUCGAAUGGUAAUAAACAAUAAUACACAAAUUUUUGAUUAUGUGAAACCCUUUUUGGGGAAUAUGAAUUAGCUCAACAUAGGCGGCCAUGUUGGCUCAAAUGUCAAAAGUAGUUUCUGGAGGUGGGUUUUUUGGAGUUUCUCUACUUCUCUAUAUAAUGGAAUACACCUUGGCCAGAAUAUUACAGAUUUUCUAUGCCACACCCAAACUGUGGAGCGCUGCAUCAAGUUGUUAACAGAAGCAUGGAGUGCAGUUUGUGGGAAAAAUAAACGAGAUUAAUUAGGACAAGACUGCAUUCACGUCAACGAAUGCUCCAUUUCAAUACAAAAAAAAAAUACAAUUUGAUGUUUAAAUAGUAUUUUAAGUAAUGUAUGAGAAAAUGUUUCGUAAUAAAUGCUUAGGUAGCCAUUUUUUUGUUUUAUUUAAAUGUUUGACUGUAUUGGGUCAUCUAAAAAAAGAAAAAGUCAGUUGUUUGAUAUUAUAUUUUGCAUGUUUGUUUUAAUUAUUAAAAGGCAACUUUUCAUAGCUAUGCCUCAAAAAAAAAAAAUUAUCCAUACAUUAUCGCUCCACCUUAAUAUAUAUACAACAUAAGACAAACAAUUUUAUUAUUUAAACUUUGAAACCCACGUAACCCAUUAAACGGGGAUUUCCGUACAUAUAUAUUCGCAUUUACAAAAUAAGUGAUACGGUAAAACGUAUUUUGUGUCAGCAUGCAACUCUUUUUGUACAAAUAAACAGAAUUGUCCAAAAAGUUAUAUUUUUAAUUACAGCAAAUUUUAAUAUAAUUUAUAGAAAAUAUGUAGAAACAUAUUAGUGAAGUGUAAAUAUUUGUAUAUAUGAAAUAACGAGUUAAAUAUUGUUUUUUUUUCAACUUCAAAUGCAAAUAUCGCGAAAACUAUAAGUUUGGGACCAAAAUAUAAAUAAAAAAUUCAAUAUAAAUUUAAAAGUUAACUAAUUUUAAGAGGGAUUAUGUCGAAAACUAUAAAUUAGCUGCAGUUUAUGUAGAUACAUCUAUUUUCAAUCUGGAGAACAUUCUAUUGGUUUUUUGGUUAAAAAGAGGAUGGUUUCCAGAAUAUAUAUGGGUCGGCUUUGGUAUACCGUCCCACGAUUUCGGGGUUAAAAUUAAUAUGGGAGGGUAGUAGAGGAUCUCCAGAUUACGAAUUUGUGUCAGAAUGCAACACUUUUUUAUUAUACAAAUAAAGAGAAUUGUGCAAAAAGUUAAAUGUUUAUUUACAACAAAGUUUGAUUUAAUUUGUUUAUAAUAAAUAUGUAAAAACAAAUUAGUGAAACGUAAAUAUAUUUAAAGUGCAAAAUAUAUGAGAAAAAUUCAAUAUACAGUGAGAAAUAACGUGUUGAAAAUUGUUAAUUUUAAUCUUUAAUUGCAAAUAUCUCAGAAACUAUAAGUUUGCGGCGGCAAUAAUUAUAUAUAUUCGUAAUCCUCCUCUAUCCGCCCAUCUUCAUUUUAACCUUGAAAUCGUGAGACGGUAUACUAAAGUUUUCCCCCCGAAAUCGUGGGACGGUAUACUAAAGUUUUCCCCAUUAUAUAAUCUGGAGAACCUCCUCUUUCCAAUUUCAACCCUGAAAUUGUGGGAUACUAUACUAAAGUUUCUCACAUUCUAUUUCCGGCCAUACUCAUUUUAACCCCUAAAGUGAUAUAGUAACUAUACUAUAGUUUCCCGGAAUACUGAAUAUUAAUAAAUUUAUCAACUUUAUUAUAAUAUAAAUUAUAAAUUAUACACUAUUGGAUCUAAAAUCUUUCACAAUCUGAUUUUUAAAGAAUUUAUUUAUAUAUAUUAAUUGUUCGCAUUUCAGCAAUUCAUCUUAUGUAAUAUUGGGACAGAAAAUUAUUAAAUUGAGACACAGAUCACUGUUUUUUAUAAAAUUUAGAAUUUAACCGGUGUACACCGGAUAAAUUUCAAGGAAUCUUUGUAUUCAAAUAAGGUUUACAAUUUUUGAUAAUAAAAUCAAUAUACAAAUAAUUAUCAAUACUCACAUCCUUUAAUUAACGCAUCAGUAAAACAGCGAUCUACACGUUUCCCAACAUCAUCUUCAGGGUAGCUGACUCUGCGAUCACCCAUUUUAAAAAUAUUUCUAAUUUGAUUUAGUUAAAUCCUCAAUGCUUAAAACAGAACAUCUAAUUGGAGCAAAAUAUUUUCGGUCGAUUUCUGAAAAUGUUCAUAUAUAUCGAUAAGUAAGAAUCGUAACGGGGCAUCUCUAUAGACAAAAUAUUAUUGUAUAAUAUUUCUGGCGGGGCAUCUCGACAGGGAAAAGUUUAUAUCAUACGAAAUGUCAAAUCGAUCCGCAGCAAGUCAUGGGUACCGAAACUCCAACACAUUUAAAGAAAUUUCAAUAUCACCACUACAUACACACAUAUGUAACAAAAGGCAAAAUGUGCUUAAACAUUUACCUCAACUCAUCUCUCGUACAGCGCCCUGAAUGAAAGAAAGAAAUAACCAAAGUUCUCGUGUAUUUGAGCAAGUUAUAUUUUGAGCUAUAUCAUGGUUGCUUGUGAAGUAUUAUUUUGCGUGUUUUAUUUAAAUCAGUGAUCUGCAGCCUAAUUAAAGUUUAAAUUAUUGAAGCAUGCAUUUUAAAUAAGUAAAACGUAAAAUAAAAGUUUUCUAAAGCCAAAAUAUGGAAUUGAAGAGGGUGACACAGUAAUAAUUCAUCGCACUGUCAAUUCGAAGCACGCAACAGAAGCUACGCCAACAAUGGUCAACAUCAAGGGCGAAACUAUUGAAUGCAUAUUUCAAACCUCAUACGGCGCGGUAAAGGUACGCAACCUAAUUGGUGUCACUUAUGGUAGCAGCGUAGAACUAUCGAAGCGAUGGAAUAUGUGCUGUUAGCAAAUCCAGAACUAUGGAUGCAAACGCUGCUACAUCGAACACAAAUCAUUUACACACCAGAUAUUAGGUUUAAUGUCAGUUUAAUGUCGUGAAAUUAAACCUUUUGGUCAACACAAGAACCUGAAGAAUUGGAACGACAUGGUUUAGAUGCUUUUGUAACCGUUUAUCGUAGCGAUGUGUUUCUACUGGGUUUUGCCUAUGAGCUAGAGGGCAAAGUAGAUUCAGCAUUUUUGGACUUACCGGCACCUCAGUUGGCCGUACCAUUAGCAGCUGAAACAUAGAAAUUAAAGGGAGGACUUUUUUGAUUCAUUUUCACCUUGUAUUGAGGAAUCAUAACGUUGUUGUAUCGCUUUAAAAGGACAUAAAUUCACCGAAAUUAGUUCAAUGGAAAUACCAGAGAAUGUCAAUUAUAGAGAAGGUUCAUGGUGUGCCGAUUGUCACACUGGUCCGCUUUUCGAAGGGGUACUCGUUUCUAUAAGCGUGUUUCACCACAUGUAGCUAUAAGCGUGUUUCACCACAGUUUAACAUUAGAGGGCUCAAAAAUAACAGAUUUGAGCGUUUUCAUGUUUAAAUGAGAAAAAUUGUGUUAAUUUCAAUGUUAAAUGAGAAAAAUUGUGUUAAUUUCAAUGUUAAUAAAUGUACGCUUACAGAUUCGCUUAUAUACAAUGCGCAAACGACUUUGCAUAUAGUAUGUAUAUAUGUAAUUUGUGGAUAUUUUGUUUAUAUUUGAUAUUAAAGUACAUGCGUACUUAUGUAAUAAUUGACUUAAAUAAUGGUUUAUUCUAUAAAACCUUUGAAAUAUAUAAUAAACUAAAAAUAUUACAUAUAAUAUGUAAAUGUAACAUAAAUGCCCAUAUAUGUAUAUGUAUAUUUAAUUACUUUGGUCAUGAAUAAUUUCUAUAAUAUCUCAAAAUCAUGAAUAUCCGCGCAUUUGUAAUCAUGUGUGCAUGUAAACAAAUGUCAAAGAAUCAUUCUGAUUGUGUAGAUAUGUCAAUUUGUCAACAUUCAAUAUAUAUAUAUAUAUGUAAAUAUGUGCACUCAUGGCUUUAUAUAAAAUCUUCGUUGCCACGGUCAAACAAUGGCCGAAGAUUAUGAUUUUUUGUUUUCAUGUCAUAGAGUUGUAAUGAUUGUGGAGCGUACGCAGGCAAAAAGGCCCAGAUGCCCAACAUACUAUGUCGUUAAUUUUUAUGCCUUGUUUCUUACAAAGAUCAAUAGUAAUUAUUUAAAAUGUGUCUUAAUAUAUUGGUAGAAUAUUAAAAUGUAUUUAAUUGUGUAGAUACAUCAUUAAUACUUCAAUAUUUGUCAACGCAUAUUAAGCGCAAUUAUUAUUACGGCGGGAUAACAUGAAACGGCCCUGUGAAGCUCGAUGUGUCGAAAAUUUGAUGGCCGCCUGCGCGAUGCCAAAGCGACGCAACAUUGCGUUGUUGGUAGAAAAUCGGCUUGUCGUAAAUAUGUAUGAAUAAGUAUGGGCAUGCAAACAUAUCGACAUAAAUUUUUGUGAGCCACAGAAUUUUUGCUGAAAAAUAUUUUAAAUCGACUCAAGGGCUAUGUUGCCAUUUUUAUCCUUUUUUAGAUUUUGCGGCGUUGCAACUUUUCCUUUUGCAGGGAACAUUAGAAAAAUCUUCAAUUUAUGAUUUUUGUCAUCGUCGCGAAAAGGCGUUUGUUGGCAUGGCAUGCGCGGGGAGAUGUGUAUGGCUCUGCUUUAUGAAUGAAGCAACUUUGCCAAAUGAAUGUGCGCCUGCGUUCAUGAAUGAAAAUGUUUUUGUUGUGUUUACUACAAUAUUUGGCAGCAUCGAUUGGCUGCCAUAUUGACUUGUGAUGCUGCUUAUGCGUUUGAGGCGCUUGUUGUUUUUGUAGAACAAUGCUUUUGCUUUUUUGUGGUGGUUGACAAACUUACGUGCACGCAUAUGCAAAUGUAAGUUUGUGUGUUUGUUCAGUGACAUGCAAACAUAUGUAUGUAUAUGCAUACAGAGCAAUGCGUGCACAUGUGACAUGACCUUCACUGAUAAGUGAUAAUGAGACAAUUCGAAUUUUUGAAGACAUAUCUGCAUACAUAUGUACAAACGUAAAUGCUUAUAUGUAUAUAGAUAUACAUACAUAUGUAUAUGCAAGUUUAAGUUAUGAAAUUUGUUGCUUAUUUUAGUAAUAUAGGAAAUGUAUUUAGUAUAAAAAUAUUUUUAUAAAAAUAAAUAAAAAUAUCUAUGAAAGUUAAUUAUUGUAUAACAUUAUAUACACGUAUGCAGCUUAAUUUGGUUUUUACUACAAAUAUGGCUCUGAAAACGCAUAAGUCAUUUUCAAUUGUGGAUGCAUUCAUAUAUAAGAAUCAUAUCAGCUCAUAUGAUUGUAUAUAAAUGUAUCAACACAUAAGCCAAAUAGCUAACAUUCCGCUUUAAAAAAAAUGUAAACUUCUGAGCAUAAUUUUCAAUUAAUACUCAGUUCUGUUAAGAGGCCCUGUUAAUAUUUCUCCUUCCGAACCGGCCGUGGUGAAACACGCUUAUAGAAUCUUGAUAGGUUUUGACAAUUCACACGCUUGUCCGCAAUUGGACCUUCUCUAUAUUAUACGUUCUCUGGAAAUACUACAGCAAGAGCAUGGAUGUUAAGACUAGAAUGUUGCCCGUGCUAGAUUUAGAAUUUCUGAAACAUAAGAAACCCUCCCAGAAAUUGGAUGAAUCUAGUACUAGUGAAAUUAGUGAAAUAACAGUUCUCACAAAAACUCCUAAGGAAACCAAAAGAGUCCUCACAUAAUGUGCGCAGCUUAUACUUCCAGGCCGCACGGGGUUUUUGACAGCCAGUCUUCCUCCAGCCGAUAGUAAAAAUUGUUAAACUAUUCAAUACUGUAACGGAUUUCCAAAAUAAAUCGUUUACUCUAAAACUCUACCCUGAGUUCGAUCACUGGAUUGUCAAAUAAAAGUCACUAUUUAAUGGCUAUACACUUAUCUUUAUUUCUAAUUCAAAGAACUUAACACUUUAUUACUCGUUAUUCGAGUUUACAACUUCUUACAACUCUCUAAUUAGAACUGCGUGUUGCUGCCAGUACGGCAGCCCUUAUAUAGUCGAUUCUUGGCAACAUAUCGCCACUCGAACAUUCU